GAUGAACGCUGGCGGCGUGCCUAAUACAUGCAAGUCGAGCGAACAGAUAAGGAGCUUGCUCCUUUGACGUUAGCGGCGGACGGGAGAGUAACACGUGGGUAACCUACCUAUCAGACUGGAAUAACUCCGGGAAACCGGGGCUAAUGCCGGAUAACAUUUAGAACCGCAUGGUUCUAAAGUGAAAGAUGGCUUUACUAUCACAUAUAGAUGGACUCGCGCCGUAUUAGCUAGUUGGUAAGGUAACGGCAUACCAAAGCAACGAUACAUAACCGACCUGAGAGGGUGAUACACCAACCCGGAUAUGAUAAACGGAACCAGCACCGUAGGGAAGCAACCGUGGGGGAUCAUCCGCAAUGGGCGAAAUGCUAACGGAGCAAAGACGGGUGUGUUAUGAAGGUCUAUCGAUCGUAAAACACUGUUAUUUGGGAAGAACAAAUGUGAAAGUAACUGUGCACGGCUUGGCGGUACCAAAAAAAAAAGCCACGGCUUACUACGUG
rnacentral:rRNA from 1 species